rnacentral:pre_miRNA from 1 species
UCUAUAAUCCCUCCGUCCGGAAAUACUUCUCAAAGAAAUGGAUGUACCUAAAUGUGUUUUAGUUCCAGAUAUAUUCACUUGUAUCCAUUUCUACGAUAAAUAAUUUCGGACGGAGGGAGUACCUG